GUCCCUGGGUGGAAUGAAGGUUACCACAUUUGACUGCUAACUAAAAGGUUGGUGGUUGGAAUCCACCCAGAGGCA
rnacentral:tRNA from 1 species